rnacentral:rRNA from 1 species
GGAUUGUAGGCUGCAACUCGCCUACAUGAAGCUGGAAUUGCUAGUAAUCACAGGUCAGCAUACUGUGGUGAAUACGUUCCCGGGCCUUGUACACACCGCCCGUCACACCAUGAGAGUUGAGAAUACCCGAAGUCCAUGUCAAAGUGGCCGAAGGUAGGCUUGAUGAUUGGGGUGAAGUCGUAACAAGGUACC